UCCUUCCCGAGCUGCCGUCUUUCCCAGGGUCCGCUCACUGAGUCCCCACAUGCCCAGCGUCGGACCUGACCCUCGGACAGGCGCGGCCCCAGACGCCGGGGACAGGGCAGUCAACAGAACAGACACAACUCCUCGCCUUCCUAGUUGGGGCUCUGUUUUCCUGUGUCUUCCGUGACACUGUCUUGAGCGUGCUUGCUUAUGAAGGUUUGACACCCGUCCCCACCAUACCUGCCUGCCACUGCCAGGAUGACUGGAGUCUCAGGUGGCUUUGUGCCAAUGGAGGGAAAAAGAAAGAUAACAAGGAACUAGACACUGUGGGUGAACUCCUGGCCUCCUGCUGCGAGGCGCCUGAGGACCCUGGGCUCUCCCUCCUCGGUUUGGGCUUCAGAGGACCCUGGGCUCUCCCUCCUCGGUUUGGGCUUCAGAAGGUGGCUCCACUUCUGGGUGGCAGUGACAGGCAGACCUGCUGAGAGCCCAGAGAGAAAUACUACCCUGCAGGGAGAUAAGGUCAUCAACCUGCCACCACUGGUAUAUUCCCAUAAUAAUGUCCACUGGUCCCAGUCGAGAGGCACCCACUCCUUUUCCUCUUGUCUAACACAGGAGUCUCGAGCUGCCUAAAGAAACCCAUUUUUGGGAAGAGGAUUAAAAACAAACAAACAAACAACAAAACUGUGCUCCAAAUGUAUAUAACCCUGUAGAUUAAUGAAACAUUUGGGCCAAAGUUCUGUAUUCUCAUAGGCAAAGACUCUCAUAGUAUUAAUAUAUUCACUGAUUUUAAAUUAUUUUUAACUUAAAGGUUUUGUUUUAAUCUGCUGUGAUGAAAUCUUGGAUCACUAUAGCUGUAAAUGAGUAGAUUUAUCUAGAUAUGUUAAAUGAACAAAUGUAAAAUGUUCGAUACAGCACAGGUGCUUAAUAAGUUGGCUUCAGAGCCGUGUUUUUCCAACAUGUUCUGAUGAUCCAAGUUUGAUACUUAAGACAAUUAAAAACAAGAAAUUUAACUUA
rnacentral:lncRNA from 1 species